CGCUUCCUGCCCAACACAGAACCGGCAGACGGUCACGAUCCAUGAAGCUCAGUUUUUCCAGAACAGGUUCGAAGCGACUCAACGAGAAGGAUGUCAGUGUUUGGAACAUGCUGUCAGCUUUCCUCUCAGCUGUUGGAUCCGUUACUUCAUCACUUCAUCGCCUGCCACAGAAGAAUCUGAACCAGGAUCCCACAGAACUGGAUCCUCCAGGUCCAAACUCUGUUAAGUAAAGUAACUGGAUCUUGUGUGGCUCAUAAAUUACCAUUGAGGAAAUUGAAAUGAAUGUUUUCAAUUCAACAUGUUAGGUCUUAUUGGAGGUCCGCCAUCUUUAAUUUCAAAAUGGACGCCAUUUUUAUUCCAAUUCUGUUUCUCAGUAUAUUUGAAAUUGACCAAAACCUUAGAAAGGUCAUGACCUCUGGGAAACUAUCUGAGGUUUUCCUGAAGAGGCUCAAGAAAAGUUUUCGGUUUUCUGCAUGAAAUGAAAAAUAAGUCGAAGCGUAAAACCGUUUUCUGUCUGUUUGUUUCUCUGAGAAAAACUGUUGUUGUGUUUUGAAAGCUUGUACUGUUAUCGCCAUGGAAACUAUCUCUGGCAGGUUACAGGAAAUGAUGUCAGACUUUUCUGAAUAAGUGAAACUUCUUGAAGAUUUAUUUAGAUUAUUAAAUCGGCUGUUUUUAGA